rnacentral:rRNA from 1 species
GAUGAACGCUGGCGGCGUGCCUAAUACAUGCAAGUCGAGCGAACAGACGAGGAGCUUGCUCCUCUGACGUUAGCGGCGGACGGGUGAGUAACACGUGGAUAACCUACCUAUAAGACUGGGAUAACUUCGGGAAACCGGAGCUAAUACCGGAUAAUAUAUUGAACCGCAUGGUUCAAUAGUGAAAGACGGUUUUGCUGUCACUUAUAGAUGGAUCCGCGCCGCAUUAGCUAGUUGGUAAGGUAACGGCUUGCCAAGGCAACGAUGCGUAGCCGACCUGAGAGGGUGGGAGGGAACAUGAGAACGUCGAACCGGAGGAGAGACCGACGGAGGGCGGCCGUAGGGAAGAUUGUGCAAGGUGAGAAAAUCAGAAGGAUAAAAGACACGGGAAGAAAGAAGGUCUACGGAUCGUAAAACUCUGUGACGAUUGAAAAACAAAAAUGCAAGUAAAAGUGCACAGCGGGAGCGGCGCUAAUAAGAAAGCAACGGCUCAUUACGUG